rnacentral:rRNA from 1 species
GAUGAACGCUGGCGGCGUGCCUAAUACAUGCAAGUCGAGCGAACAGACGAGGAGCUUGCUCCUCUGACGUUAGCGGCGGACGGGUGAGUAACACGUGGAUAACCUACCUAUAAGACUGGGAUAACUUCGGGAAACCGGAGCUAAUACCGGAUAAUAUAUUGAACCGCAUGGUUCAAUAGUGAAAGACGGUUUUGCUGUCACUUAUAGAUGGAUCCGCGCCGCAUUAGCUAGUUGGUAAGGUAACGGCUUACCAAGGCAACGAUGCGUAGCCGACCUGAGAGGGUGAUCGGCCACACUGGAACUGAGACACGGACCAGACUCCUACGGGAGGCAGCAGUAGGGAAUCUGCCGCAAUGGGCGAAAGCCUGACGGAGCAACGCCGCGUGAGUGAUGAAGGUCUUCGGAUCGUAAAACUCUGUUAUUAGGGAAGAACAAAUGUGUAAGUAACUAUGCACGUCUUGACGGUACCUAAUCAGAAAGCCACGGCUAACUACGUG